GACGAACGCUGGCGGCGUGCUUAACACAUGCAAGUCGAACGAGAUCCAUGGAGCUUGCUCCGGAAGAUCUAGUGGCGAACGGGUGCGUAACACGUGAGAAACCUGCCCUGGACUUGGGAAUAACAGUCGGAAACGACUGCUAAUACCGAAUACCUUCACACCAUCGCAUGGUGAAGUGAAGAAAGCUUUUGCGGUUCAGGAGGGUCUCGCGGCCUAUCAGCUUGUUGGUGAGGUAACGGCUCACCAAGGCAUCGACGGGUAGCUGGUCUGAGAGGAUGAUCAGCCACACUGGGACUGAGACACGGCCCAGACUCCUACGGGAGGCAGCAGUGGGGAAUAUUGCACAAUGGGCGAAAGCCUGAUGCAGCAACGCCGCGUGCGGGAAGAAGGCCCUAGGGUUGUAAACCGCUUUCAGCAGGGAAGAAAAUGACGGUACCUGCAGAAGAAGGUGCGGCCAACUACGUGCCAGCAGCCGCGGUGACACGUAGGCACCAAGCGUU
rnacentral:rRNA from 1 species